GACGUAUCGGUUAGAUCGGGAUACUCAUCACUUAAAGAACCGAAAACUGAGACAAUCCUCUUGUCAAUGGCGGGCCACGCCACAGCGUAGAAAUUUUUGCUCGUGGUAGCUCUCAUGCCGGUGGAUUACAACGACGGGGGAAUCUCUAAUCUUGACAACAAGGAGUUUUCAUCACAAUCACGAUACGUC
rnacentral:sRNA from 1 species